GGCUCAGUAGUUUAGUUGAUAAAGCACUCGUUUAACAUAAAAGAGUUGUGGGUUCGAAUUAUAUCUGAGCUA
rnacentral:tRNA from 1 species